GUUAGCAAAACAUCAGCUGCAGAAGAUAUUAGAUUGUCAUGUGACAGGAAGUCAAGGUCAUGACCUCUCUAUAGCAAGACAAGCUCUUCUACACAUACUUGUUAACUCGAAGAAAGACUCAGAACUGAUUCAGGUUAUCCUGGAUGAUGCAACAUUAGCUGAGGAUACAGAAUCAUUAAAUUAUUAUAAAAAUAUCACUGCUUAAAAACAGUCAUCUGUGAUCAACUUAAAAUAAUGCCAUUGCUGAACAGUAUUGUUUAAUAUAAGAAAAUUUUCAGAAUAUUGAAAAAAAAAAUUAAAACAAGAUAUACAUGAAUACAAAAGUAUGAUGUAAUGUCGUUAUAUUUUAGAUUGGAAAUUUUUAGUAGAUUUAUGUGUUGCAGUUCAGACAGGAAUAUCUGUAUUGAGGGUAACCAGCAAGCCUUGUAACUACCCAUGGAAAUUUACAGCAUGGGUAAAACAAACAAAACACCAAUCUGAUAGUGCCAAGACCAAUUAAAAUUUCAGCUCUUUGUUCUGUCAACUGCAAGUGAAAUUUGUGACUUUAUCUCAAGUAAAGGAUUAAUAAAGUAACUAUGUGUAUCACCUUAUUUUAUGAACUUUAUUUGAAAUAAAGAAAACUCGUAU